ACCAGAACGGGUGUAGAAGCCCAGCCAGUAGGAUAAGCCCUCCCAGAUCUGGCCGGGCGGCCGGCUGCUGCCUUCUUCCCCAAUUCGGGAAAGACGACUAUGAAGAUCAGUUUGUGUAGCGUGGUUUGGUUCUUCUCUCUAGCUGUAUCUCCUUGCUCCCCCGCGCGCGCUCUCUCUCUCUCCGUGUCCAGUUCUUGUUGCGUCUGCUUGGUACUGUACUUUGCAGCGGUGGUCGACGUUGGGAUGAUGGGGGCGCUGGCUGGAGCCAGCAGCUCGACGGUGUGGCUGACAGAAGAGAGUGAGCACGCAUCGGCCAGACUGCAUCUAUAUACGGCUGCUCCUGGCGAAUGGAUAGAUGCCAAGGCGCAGCUGCUGUUGCGUGCUCACUUCUCUUUCUGUCAGCUCCCUCUCCUCCUAGGGACUUGUUCCGCCGUAUGCAUCCACCACCGUCCCAGUAGUCCCACUUCCGUCCAUCGCAGCGCGCCAAUGAUGCGUCGUCGUCGUCGUCCAGGCGCAGCCGUUCCCCUUAUCACAUCGGUCGCCGUUCUCUGAGGCGCCUGCCGGCCUUGUCGUGUCCCUACCUGAAACCUUAUCUUGUCUCCCGCUCGGAUUUCGAUGACCUCUGCUCUUUGGAAUAAGGUACUCUUAAAAUCUCAGGGAAGCUUAGCCGCCCAGCGCAUGUACGCCAUGGACCCUUGCGCUGCGGGCUGCGGCUGGCAACGUUUCUUUUCUUUUAUCGGUGAGGUCCUCGUUGCCGUCUUUGUGGCUUCCGAUGAUGGAAUUUUAGCCAGCUCCGUUCCGUCCUUCAGGCUUCAACCUUGGGGGAAGGGACGCGUGAAGGUUUGGUUAACUUAACACCUGUGUCUUUGCUCUCCUCCCUAGGAGUCCGCUUAACGGAAAGCACUGUUUGACUGCUCUCUCUCUCUCCCCCCUCCCUCUCUUAUCUACUCUUCCUUUCCGUAAAGAUUUCACACAAAAACUAUUGGAUCUUUUCCCCUUUUGUUGUGCUCAUCUCAUGUGGUUCUGUGACUGCUGAGAGAUAGGUGGGCGAGGCAGCCAUGGAGUUGAUGGUCGGAGGCAGAUCUGCUUGGAUGCAAGUGGAGAGGGGGCUGGCGCGCCGCACGCGGCACCUACCUCCAGCAGCGGCGCCAGCGCCGGCGGCUUCUUGUAGAUCUGGAAGCGCCAAUAUUUUCUUCUCUAGCCGUUUAGCAAUCAUCAUAUAUAGGAAUGUGGACGUGCUCCAUGUACCUCUUCCCCUACUAAUCAAGCAAGGUAGCAAGAAUAUGUACUGCUUGGGACCAUGAGAUGCUAGAGCCUGACAUGCUAGAGCCCUCAUCCUCCAUGUUUGAUGUGGUUAUCAUCUGAUUCAAGUAACCUUGUCACUUGGGCAGGUGUCAUCUAAAGAAAGAAAAAGAGAGGUUCUUGGAAGCCAAAUCCAGAGUUGAUGCUGACUUCAGAAGAAAGGGGUACCUUGUAUUAGUGGAUUCAUACACGAAGGUCACUAAAAUGGAAUGGUUUUUCCACAUAGAUAGAGCACAAAAUAAUUGAUCUCGAUCUAGAUGAAGUUAAUUUUGUGUACAAGUUAUUUUUCAUGCAUGGAUUAAUGAUCAACACGCGUAC